GCGUAUGGUGUCAGGGUCAGGCGGGGUCCUGCGUGUGUCCCGGUGGCUAAGUGUGCCAUAGGCGUAUGGUGUCAGGGUCAGGCGGGGUCCUGCGUGUGUCCUGGUGGCUAAGUGUGCCAUAGGCGUAUGGUGUCAGGGUCAGGCGGGGUCCUGCGUGUGUCCUGGUGGCUAAGUGUGCCGUAGGCGUAUGGUGUCAGGGUCAGGCGGGGUCCUGCGUGUGUCCUGGUGGCUAAGUGUGCCGUAGGCGUAUGGUGUCAGGGUCAGGUGGGGUUGCAUGUGUCCUGGUGGCUAAGUGUGCCGUAGGCGUAUGGUGUCAGGGUCAGGUGGGGUUGCAUGUGUCCUGGUGGCUAAGUGUGCCGUAGGCGUAUGGUGUCAGGGUCAGGCGGGGCCGUAGCUCCUGGAUAAAUGCUACUACUGCAGAUUGCACGCAGGCCUCUGCUGUGAUCUAUAGCUGCUGCUGCUGCUGCUGCAUAGUUACCAUGGCUGGUCAGGAAUACCUCCAGCCCUGGAGCACACUGAACUCAAUAAAUGUGUACCAGAGAUUACGCAAUUA